UCCUUUCUUGUACGCUCAUUUCUCAAACAGUUCCAUAUUCCCUCUAUCCCUUCCACCCAUCUCUCCUAGUUUCAUAUUUCCAUUCUCUCCUUAUUUGGCAUGUUGUCUCUUUCACCUUGAGCCUUUGGCACUCACUCCAUCCAUAUGCUCAUCACACCUCGCAUGUACCACCUAUUUCCUUGCUGGCUUUGUCCUGCAUGCCUCUGCCUCUUUUCACUCUCUUUCAUCAGUCUGAGGAAGGUUGCUGACCUGAGGUGUCAUCUGUCCAUUCCACUUGCAGUCAGGCAGAUUGUACCUGAACUGCUGAAUGCCUCCAGCACUUUGUCUUUGAACAGAGCCAUGUUCACCGGUUGUAGUUGGCUUCUGUUACAGGGAAAGUAUAGUUUAAUAUUUUUGACUGAAGCUCUGGGUGGUUGGGUUUUUCCAGGUAUUUUUAACCAACUGAAUGUUUGUUUAUAUCUAACGUUUAAAUGUCCACUUGAAGAGUGAGGCAUCGGGCAACAAUGUUGGGAGAACACUUGUGAAAUAUAAUGGGUAUUUGAUGUAACUGGUGUUGCUGUGCUUGUAAAUUGUGUCAGUGCGGGAGCAACUCGAUGGGUGCAGCAAUAUCGCUGGAGAACAUGGAUUGGUAAUUCCGGGUUGGGACUCUUCAGACCUUAAUCUCUUAAAGUAGUCUAAAUAUAUAGGACUACCUUAAUAUUGGUCCAACCUGCAGGAGUCCUGACUGCAGAGACACAAUGGUCCUGGUUGGAGAUACAUCUCCAGGCAUUGUCCACAUGUCCAAGUGUUUUUACCUUGAGGACUAGAAUCUUCUCACCCAGGACUGUCCAACCAACUGAGUUACUCCCGCACUUUGUCUAAUUGUAGAGAAGGACGUUGGAACAUUUCAAACAUUAAAAUGUUAAUUUGAUUUUUCAGCAUCAAUUCUUCCUGGAUUUGGUCUUUAUGGAUGUCAUAGGAGAUAAGCUCGCAGUCUCUGGUAGAGACCGAUGUCGGGAAGCUCCAAAGAACGCAAAAGGUUCGACUAGACCCCGAGUGAGCUGGGAUUCAACCCCCCGAUGCAGGACCCCCGACACGGAUGGCCCGACCGCCUGCUACGGGAGUCAAGAUCAUUCCAUCAACGGAAGGCCCGAGGCCCCAGACCGCAGGAGGCCAAAGAAGGGAAGAGUUUGAACUUUGUGUUCUGUUGCUUUUUAUUGGUAUGAGUGUCUGGUAAAUGAAAUUCCUCGUGUUGCAAAGCAUACAUGUUUUACACGAGCCACCCCAUGUUUGAAGCAUGAGUGUAUAUAUACAGUGCUGGAGGAACUUGGUGGGUUUGACAACCCCCUGAAGGAUUGGACAGAUGACUAAUCGGGUCAGGAGCUCUCGGUCUGAAAUACGGGGGAGAGCUGGAAAUGAGGUGGGGGUUGGGCACUGCCUGACAAGUGAUGGGUGGAUUACAGGUGAGUGGGUGAUGGGCAAAUGGAUGGAGUAAGUGCCAAAGGCUGAAGGUGAACGUGAUAAAACGUGUUGGAUAAGGACAAGAACUGAAAUGUAAAACUAGGGUGAGGUGGGGUUGGAAGGUAAAAGGGAAAUAUGGGACGGUUGAGAGAUGAGCAUACUUCCCUUCGUUAACCAACUAACCAUAACCAACUAACCAUAACCAACUAACCAUAACCAACUAACCAUAACCAACUAACCAUAACCAACUAACCAUAACCAACUAGUCCUUUCUUGUACGCUCAUUUCUCAAACAGUUCCAUAUUCCCUCUAUCCCUUCCACCCAUCUCUCCUAGUUUCAUAUUUCCAUUCUCUCCUUAUUUGGCAUGUUGUCUCUUUCACCUUGAGCCUUUGGCACUCACUCCAUCCAUAUGCUCAUCACACCUCGCAUGUACCACCUAUUUCCUUGCUGGCUUUGUCCUGCAUGCCUCUGCCUCUUUUCACUCUCUUUCAUCAGUCUGAGGAAGGUUGCUGACCUGAGGUGUCAUCUGUCCAUUCCACUUGCAGUCAGGCAGAUUGUACCUGAACUGCUGAAUGCCUCCAGCACUUUGUCUUUGAACAGAGCCAUGUUCACCGGUUGUAGUUGGCUUCUGUUACAGGGAAAGUAUAGUUUAAUAUUUUUGACUGAAGCUCUGGGUGGUUGGGUUUUUCCAGGUAUUUUUAACCAACUGAAUGUUUGUUUAUAUCUAACGUUUAAAUGUCCACUUGAAGAGUGAGGCAUCGGGCAACAAUGUUGGGAGAACACUUGUGAAAUAUAAUGGGUAUUUGAUGUAACUGGUGUUGCUGUGCUUGUAAAUUGUGUCAGUGCGGGAGCAACUCGAUGGGUGCAGCAAUAUCGCUGGAGAACAUGGAUUGGUAAUUCCGGGUUGGGACUCUUCAGACCUUAAUCUCUUAAAGUAGUCUAAAUAUAUAGGACUACCUUAAUAUUGGUCCAACCUGCAGGAGUCCUGACUACAGAGACACAAUGGUCCUGGUUGGAGAUGCAUCUCCAGGCAUUGUCCACAUGUCCAAGUGUUUUUACCUUGAGGACUAGAAUCUUCUCACCCAGGACUGUCCAACCAACUGAGUUACUCCCGCACUUUGUCUAAUUGUAGAGAAGGACGUUGGAACAUUUCAAACAUUAAAAUGUUAAUUUGAUUUUUCAGCAUCAAUUCUUCCUGGAUUUGGUCUUUAUGGAUGUCAUAGGAGAUAAGCUCGCAGUCUCUGGUAGAGACCGAUGUCGGGAAGCUCCAAAGAACGCAAAAGGUUCGACUA